rnacentral:misc_RNA from 1 species
UAUUCUGCGAGAACACACAGAGAGAGAGAUGGCGGAAGAGGUAGAAGAACGAACUCUCCAAACAACACCAACAUGGGCUGUGGCCACUGUUUGCUUUAUUUUGAUAUUUUUAUCUAUCAUAAUUGAGCAUUUGCUUCAUCUUUUGGCUAAGUAUUUCAACAAGAGAAGGAGGAACGCACUCAUACAGGCUCUUGACAAGAUCAAAUCAGAAUUGAUGCUUUUAGGUUUCAUGUCCUUGUUGCUAACUGUGAGCGAAAAGCCUAUAGCAAAUAUUUGCAUCCCCAAGAGUGUAGGCGAAACUUUUCUUCCCUGUGGUAGUAUGACUUC